rnacentral:tRNA from 1 species
GGGGAUAUGGCGGAAUUGGUACACGCAAAAUCCGUUGGUCUACGAGACCUUGAGGGUUCAAGUCCCUCUAUCCCCA